rnacentral:sRNA from 1 species
AUAUAGCACUGAGAGUACAGGAUGAGAAGCUGUGUAGGUUCGAGCCGAGCGAAGCGAGACAGCGUUGUGCGAAGUACAACGACCCGCACGGGCGAGGCCGUAGGCCGAGUUAUCCUGUACGACCCACCA